rnacentral:rRNA from 1 species
UACAGAGGGUGCGAGCGUUGUCCGGAAUCACUGGGCGUAAAGGGCGCGUAGGUGGCGGCCCAAGUCCAUGGUGAAAGCUCGAUGCUCAACAUCGAGUCGGCCACGGAUACUGGGUUGCUCGAGCACUGUAGGGGCAGAUGGAAUUCCGGGUGUAGCGGUGGAAUGCGUAGAGAUCAUGAGGAAGACCAGUGGCGAAGGCGGGUCUCUGGACAGUUCCUGACACUGAGGCACGAAGGCCAGGGGAGCAAACGGG